rnacentral:misc_RNA from 1 species
AAGGAUGCGAAUUGUGGUUGGUUUAACAAUAAGGGAGAAAGUCUCUGCAAAAGUAACUCCCGAACGUUGGCGGAAUCCUUUGGCCACUAGACGAGCCUUAUAGCGGUCAAGAGAUCCAUCCUGUUUUUGCUUUAUUCUGCAAACCCAAUGACAUUCAAUUACAUUUUGGGCUUGACUUCGAGGCACUAACUCCCACGUUCCAAUCAUAAGAAGUGCUGAUAUUUCUUCAUUCAUAGCUUUCCUCCAAUUUGCAUCCAGGGCCGUUUUAGAAUAACAUGAUGGAAUGGGUGGAGAGCUCGAGUGGCGAUGAAGAGUUUAGGUUUAAGAGAACCUAUUGACCAUCGGGUGAGUUCUAGCAGUGAACAAUGAAGGUUGUUGAGUAGAUAAGGGUAUAAGGUUUUGAGUGAUUAGAUGGUGAGCAGCAAGGUAAGUCAAUUGGUGAUGAGGAAGCUGUGGUUGGAUUAGGAUGGGGUGG